UACGUAGGGUGCGAGCGUUGUCCGGAAUUACUGGGCGUAAAGAGCUCGUAGGUGGUUUGUCGCGUUUGUCCGUGAAAACUCACAACUCAAUUGUGGGCGUGCGGGCGAUACGGGCAGACUGGAGUACUGCAGGGGAGACUGGAAUUCCUGGUGUAGCGGUGGAAUGCGCAGAUAUCAGGAGGAACACCGGUGGCGAAGGCGGGUCUCUGGGCAGUAACUGACGCUGAGGAGCGAAAGCGUGGGGAGCGAACAGG
rnacentral:rRNA from 1 species